UAAUGGCCUACCAAGUCUCGUCUUUAGCUGGUUUUAGAGGAUGAUCAGCAACACUGGGACUGAGACACNNNNNAGACUCCUACGGGAGGCAGCAGUGGGGAAUCUUAGACAAUGGGGGCAACCCUGAUCUAGCCAUGCCGCGUGAGUGAUGAAGGCCUUAGGGUCGCAAAGCUCUUUCGCCUGUGAUGAUAAUGACAGUAGCAGGUAAAGAAA
rnacentral:rRNA from 1 species